rnacentral:rRNA from 1 species
CCUCCCACCCGUGUUUAUUGUACCUUGUUGCUUCGGCAGGCCCGCCUUACGGCCGCCGGGGGGCUUCUGCCCCCGGGCCCGCGCCUGCCGGAGACAAUCUUGAACGCUGUCUGAAGAAUGCAGUCUGAGCGAUUAAGCAAAAUUAGUUAAAACUUUCAACAACGGAUCUCUUGGUUCCGGCAUCGAUGAAGAACGCAGCGAAAUGCGAUAAUUAAUGUGAAUUGCAGAAUUCAGUGAAUCAUCGAGUCUUUGAACGCACAUUGCGCCCCCUGGUAUUCCGGGGGGCAUGCCUGUCCGAGCGUCAUUGCUGCCCUCAAGCACGGCUUGUUUGUUGGGUCUUGUUCCCCCGGGAACAGGCCCGAAAGGCAGUGGCGGCACCGUCCGAUCCUCGAGCGUAUGGGGCUUUGUCACCCGCUCUGUAGGCCCGGCCGGCGCUUGCCGACCCCAAUCAAUCUUUUUCAGGUUGACCUCGGAUCAGGUAGGGAUACCCGCUGAACUUAAGCAUAUCA